UUCUUAAGCCUCUGUGACUUCUGUUUCCAUGAAGACUGCAGAGAUUUAGCACAUUGUACUGAACGGAUCUCACCAUGAAGAGUCUAUAUAGUCACCUAGACUGAGCUUUAUCCUGGAAGAAGCCUAAAGAGUCUGCAUAGUCUCCUAGACCAGACUUUACCGUUGCA